UCCUCCACCCCUCCCUCCCUCAUGCGGAGAUGGGGAGAGGGAAGAAGUUUGCCGGCGGCACGGUCCAGUCCACAUUUACCGUGAUUUCAUUAGGGGAACAGCAACAAGAGCCCGCGGUGAAGCUUUUCCAGGGAGUGCUGAGGAAUAUCCCACAGCUCAGACACAGCUCUCACGGCCCACUCUCCCUCUGUUUUAAUGAAAAACAAUAUCUGGAGUCAUUAUUGAUGUCGCCGAAGUAGUGAGGGAAGCUCGGGUCAGUGGGACAGCGUCCGCGCGCUGUCGGAGUCCGUUGUGUCCUCCUUUUAACGGCUCUGGUCCUGGAGAAGAAGCCGAAGAAGAAGAAGAAGAACGACGCGGAAGACGGCAGGAGAACAAGAGGAAGACAGAAGACAGUCCAAGUGAAAGUGACAGAGUCCGCUUCAGGAUGAAUAACAACAAAAUCGAGAAAGAAAACGAGCCGAGCGAAUUCACCAACCACGAAGAGGAGGUCCGAACGCUAUUUGUCAGUGGACUACCACUGGAUAUUAAGCCGCGGGAGCUCUACCUCCUGUUCAGACCAUUUAAGGGCUAUGAAGGUUCCUUGAUAAAACUCACUUCUAAACAGCCAGUGGGCUUUGUCAGCUUUGACAGUCGAUCAGAGGCAGAGGCUGCUAAGAAUGCCUUGAACGGGGUCAGGUUUGAUCCGGAAAUCCCCCAGACCCUGCGGCUGGAGUUUGCCAAGGCCAACACCAAGAUGGCCAAGAACAAGCUGGUCGGCACUCCCAACCCUCCUCCAUCUCAGCAGAGCCCUGGGCCACAGUUCAUCAGCAGAGACCCAUAUGAGCUCACAGUGCCUGCUCUAUAUCCCAGCAGCCCAGAUGUGUGGGCGUCAUACCCACUCUACCCGGCGGAGCUGUCGCCGGCCCUCCCACCCGCUUUCACCUACCCUUCCUCACUCCAUGCUCAGAUUCGCUGGCUCCCACCUGCAGAUGGAACUCCUCAGGGAUGGAAGUCCAGGCAGUUCUGCUGAAGUAUGUGUUCCUGAUGUGUGAUGGUGGCCGUGGCCGGCUGUGACAGGCGUUGCCAAUUGUUUCUCAUGUCCAAUUAGAAACCAGGAGGACUGACCUGACUCAAGCUCCUGGAGCAGCGUACCGUCGACAGCAGCAGCCUCUGGGCCUCAGGACAUACUAGACCCCAGCCUCCAUCACACAUCGAGCCCCCCACCACCGUCCCCAAAAUCCCUCCAACUCUUUUGUUUUUAUACUGUUACAUACUCAAGAUUUACUGGCAGUGCUUUGGCUCCACCUCCUCUCACAGCGCCAUGAAAGGUAGCAGGCAUGCACACACACACACCCCUUGUUUAGCAGUUGACAGACAGCAUUGCGUUUCUUAAGGCUACAUCCACACUAAUACGUUGUAGUUUUGCUACCACAUACAUUUAACACCUGCCGUCCAGUGCACUCAGGAGUUUUGGAAACAUUGCUGGCCCUGUUUUUGUUUGUUAACUCUGGGGUUGCAUUUUAGUCGGGCGGAAACGGAGGCCUUGGAAAUGAUGGCGCAGGUGCUCUUGUUUGCUCCCUCAUUAGGUUACGAUGCAUUUUUCCCUGGUGCUCUUAUCAUGUGACCCAUUUAAUGAAGAGCACACACUGCAUCAGCCUCAACCGCCGCUUGUAAUGAAUUGCUAACACGUACCGGUUUCACCUCGUCAUUUGAAAAAGGUUUUUGAAAAAGGCUGUUCCUCAUUCCUAAUUUCUACUGUAUGAGGACGGAGCAGAAGUGGCUCAUUUAAUGAUAUUUCUGUUGCAUUUUUAUCCAAACACCAGUUACAGGUACAUGGUUAACAGACAGGUAGACAGACGUUCCGUGCAUUUACAGAUGUGUGGAAGGUUAAGUUAAACUCUCAUCUAGGUUGAGAUUGGUUUAAAGAUGCUACUUGGACGUAGCCCAGCGUUAGCAGGUAUUUUGCUUUGCAUUAUAUAUAUGCAUCUGUAAAUACAACCAUGCCAAAGGAGUGCAUGUAUGUUUCAUUCUCUCAAUUUGCAAGGCCAUAUGUGUGGACGUGUGGCCAAAGCACUGCUUGAUAAUGUUAUUAUAUUACUAUAAUUAUUACUAUUCUGUAUAUCAUUCAUAUUAAUGUUAUUAUGAUUAUUAAAUACAUGUUGAAGCAUGACUUUGCAAAAAAAACGAAAAAAAACAAUGCUGUACAUUUUUAGAUAUUUUAAAGAAAUACAAAAAGGUAUUUUUGUAAUCCAGAUGUUUGAAAUGGUUCUGUUUGAUUGAUUAAUGUUGUGCGUGACGAACCUUUUUUUUUUUUGCCCUUCCUUUUGCGUGUGUCAUUAUAAAAUGGCUAGUCAUCCUGCUCUCCCAAGCAGUCCCGCUCCUGUCUGUUCUACAUACUGUGUGGAUUUAGAUUUGCCCGUGUGUGUGUUUGUGUGGUGUCUGCACCAAUGUUGCUUCACCUGAGCAGUCUGAUCCAGCUCGUAGUUUUUCAGUUUUGUAGGUAUUUAGAUGUGCUCAUGUGCUGUCAUCGACAGAAAUUAGCCCACGGUGAUGAAGGUAGAUUGACCUCAGAGACCGCAAUACAUGGCAGACUUGAGUUCUGCUAUAAUUAGGAAUAUGCCUCCUCAUUGUCUAGCAGCAGGACGGCAGCACAGCACAGAGGAAUAAAAGACCAAAGGCAUUUUUUUUACACUGGAGAGCUAUCUAGGCUAGUGGAGUUAUUCCAUUUCUGACUGCUUUGUAGUCCUCAAUCUGAUUCCUUAUGAAGUACGACAUUAUUUUUUGCUGCAUGUCUCCUUUGGUGUCACUCCAAAGAGCCAAUCUGAAUCUGAAAGGAUGUUCACUUUAAGCAUUUUGUCUCUCUCGUCUAUUUUUAGGAAGCCAAUGUGAUUCAAGCUUCUUUUGUUAAGUCAGAAUUUGCAUACAAAAGAUUGGAAUCUGUGAGAAGAAAAAAACACAACUUUUAUAAUCGUGUGUAUUCUGGGCCUGCAAUAACGUCUCUACUGUAUGACAUAUCAUCGAGUGAUGAUGUUUCUUUGACACUUUGACGCCAAAAUUCUCAUUCAUGUCGUGUACAAAACCAAACAUCUUUUCAUCUUUUCAUGAUAAGGCCAAGUCACAUAUUUUCAGGAAUGUGACAGUCAAAUAACAAUAAAACAAUAAUCUUUCCUCUUCAUAUUUAGCCCAGAUGUGUACAAUCAGACUAGUUGAAUCAUAUACUCAGUGUUUGUAAUUAUUAUUAAUAAUAAUGAUAAUAAUAAUAGUAACAAUUAUAAUGAUGAUGAUGAUGAUAUGCACGCACAUCAUUUUUGACUGAUUUGAAGCAGUUUUUGCUUUUACAGACCUUUUUAAGCCGAGUGUGGCACCAAAUUUAUAAGUAUUUAUAAGGUGUGCGUGUGUGUAUGUUUUUAUGGGUAUUAUGUUUUCGAAUUUCAUAGACAAUGCCCAUCAUAUGAUUAAUUGUAAGUAUUAUUGUAAGUUUAAUUGUAUAUUCAUUUUGGUAGUUUUUUUUUCCCCUAGAGCUUCAUUUUGUGUUUGCAGCCUCCUGAUUGGAACAUACUGUAUGUUGAAAUAUGAAUACUGUUUUAUCUUCACUGUGAAAUCCAUAGAAAAACAUGCUUUGAACGAAUGGAUAUUUUAGUGUUUUGUCAGCAGUACGGUACCGAAGUUCCCGUAAAUUAAUAUGAUCCCUCUUUUUGUCAAUGAAAAAUACUCCUUCCUUGUUUCAGUAUAUUGUGUGAAUACCUGUGUGUUCUGUGCAUGUUCACGGCAUGUGUGUGUUAUUUUCUUUGCCUUAAUGCAUACAGUACUGUUGAUAUUUAUGUACUUUAGCCUCAUAAGGAGAAACUGUAUUUCAGUGAAUUGCAGAGGUGUGUUUGUUUGAAACCAAAAAAAAAGUGAUCAAAAUGAGAAUUUUUUUAUGAAAAUGUUAAAUGAAGACAUUUCAGGCAAUCGGUCAUUAAAAAUUGACAUCAUC